CACUGGAUUUUAGGAAAUUAGGAUUUAUAAUAAUGUUAAUACUAAACUACCCCUAUAAAAACUGAAUUAUUGAUUAACUAAAAAUAAAUAUUAAUCUUCUUAACACUAAAAAAAGAAAUACUAAUUCCCGUGAUUAACUAUAAUCCCUCAUUAACAAAAAGAUACCCUAAUCCCUCAAUUUUCUUCUUCGUCGCCUAACUCCUUCCCUCUUUUACCAUGGCUUUUUUUGGAACACCUUCUACCAUGGCUAAAUCACUAUUCUAUCUCUCCUAGCUUCUUCCUCUUCGUCAAUGAUGUUACUAAAGUGGAGACAGUGACACUGAACGAGAUUCACAAAUUCUUAGAAAAUGAGUCACCACAGGUCGCUAGCUUCAUCUGCACUGCAACAAUAACGGAAGUCAUGGAAGAAUAUGGUUGGUACUUCAUCUCCUGCACCGCCUGCAAGUAGCAACUGGAAAGGUCAGAAACAUCUUUCAUUUGCCCUAACUCCAAGUGCA